UACGAAGGGGGCUAGCGUUGCUCGGAAUCACUGGGCGUAAAGCGCACGUAGGCGGAUUGCUAAGUCAGGGGUGAAAUCCUGGAGCUCAACUCCAGAACUGCCUUUGAUACUGGCGACCUUGAGUCCGGGAGAGGUGAGUGGAACUGCGAGUGUAGAGGUGAAAUUCGUAGAUAUUCGCAAGAACACCGGUGGCGAAGGCGGGUCUCUGGGCCGAAACUGACGCUGAGGAGCGAAAGCGUGGGGAGCGAACAGG
rnacentral:rRNA from 1 species